AAUAGAUACCGGGUAGUCCACCCCGUAAACGUUGGGAACUAGUUGUGGGGUCCUUUCCACGGAUUCCGUGACGCAGCUAACGCAUUAAGUUCCCCGCCUGGGGAGUACGGCCGCAAGGCUAAAACUCAAAGGAAUUGACGGGGACCCGCACAAGCGGCGGAGCAUGCGGAUUAAUUCGAUGCAACGCGAAGAACCUUAUCAAGGCUUGACAUACACCAGAACACCCUAGAAAUAGGGGACUCUUUGGACACUGGUGAACAGGUGGUGCAUGGUUGUCGUCAGCUCGUGUCGUGAGAUGUUGGGUUAAGUCCCGCAACGAGCGCAACCCUCGUUCUAUGUUGCCAACACGUAAUGGUGGGAACUCAUGGGAUACUGCCGGGGUCAACUCGGAGGAAGGUGGGGAUGACGUCAAAUCAUCAUGCCCCUUAUGUCUUGGGCUUCACGCAUGCUACAAUGGCCGGUACAAAGGGCUGCAAUACCGUGAGGUGGAGCGAAUCCCAAAAGCCGGUCCAGUUCGGAUUGAGGUCUGCAACUCGACCUCAUG
rnacentral:rRNA from 1 species